AUCACAUCGGACUGCAGUCAUUCAAGAGGCAAUUUUAUGCGGAAGAAAAUUACAGACUUUUGCCAUCAAACUUUUAUUCAAGGCGAUGAUGAGGAAAAUAAUAAUGAAAUGGUUACGUUUUCAACAUCAUAUUCUUCUUAAGAAGAGGAAAUGAAGCAGAGCAUUAUCAAGUUAUAUAUUAUUGUAAAAUGUAAUUGAAAAAUUAACGGCGAAUUUUUGUUGUAUAAUUAUUAUUUUGCGAUUAUUAUUAUUAUUAUUAUUAUUAUUAUUAUUAUUAUUAUUAUUAUUAUUAUUAUUAUUGUACUGCGUUUUAAAAAUUAUGUAGUAUUAUUCAGAUAGGAAUUGCGAUAUUUAUGUAUUUAAUAAAUAAGAAAAAAUAGUCACGGAAGAGGACGAGAAAGAAGCGGAAGGAAUCGUACAACGAACGAAGACCGAAUUAUCUUCUUUCCAACAGGAAUGGUAUUCACAAAUAUUCAAGAAUUCUCCAAAGAGCAACACAGUUUCAAACGAAUUUCCUUUCAAUUUCCUGUCAUCUCUGAUGUACUGAACACGCAUCGCACUGCAGUCUUGAGAGGGAACAUAAAGGAAAGAGUAUUCAACAGGACACUGAAAUUAUACUUUGAAUCUUCGUUCUUAACAUUAUGAAGGAAGAGGAAACAAGAUCAAAAGGGAGAUAUAUUUUUUUCUCAAAAAUCAAUGACGAGCGAGCGAACGAAAGAAGAACAGGACGCAAGAAGACACCCCAGCGUGGUUGACAGUCACUGGAAAAUCUGCGGAAAAUGGAAUAUUUAGC